rnacentral:rRNA from 1 species
GAUGAACGCUAGCUACAGGCUUAACACAUGCAAGUCGAGGGACCGGCGCACGGGUGAGUAACACGUAUCCAACCUGCCCUUUACUCGGGGAUAGCCUUUCGAAAGAAAGAUUAAUACCCGAUGUAAAGGAUGGGGAUGCGUUCCAUUAGGUUGUUGGUGAGGUAUCGGUUCACCAAGCCUUCGAUGGAUAGGGGUUCUGAGCGGAAGGUCCCCCACAUUGGAACUGAGACACGGUCCAAACUCCUACGGUAGGCAGCAGUGAGGAAUAGUGGUCAAUGGGCGUUAGCCUGAACCAGCCAAGUAGCGUGAAGGAUGAAGGCUGAAGGGUCGUAAACUUCUUUUAUAUAAGAAUAUGUAUUAUAUGAAUAAGGAUCGGCGAACUCCGUGCCAGCAGCCGCGGUAAUAC